CACUGACUCAAAAACCACUCCAAGCAGGAAAGCAAGUCGAAAGGAGAACAAAGUGAUUGCUCCAACAAAGAAAUCAGCUGGAAAAGAGAGUACUAAGCAAGGUCCCCGUAAGUCCAAGCCUUCGGAUACUAAAGGCCACUCUUCAUCUGAACCUCCUCAGAAGGAAAAAGAUAGCAACACUGGAGUAAACUCAAUGUUAAACGAACGUGGAGCAGAACUGAGUCCACAAGUAUCUAGUGAAGUCGUUGAUGCUAAGAACACGGAGGAGGUACGUAGCAUAUCAUUAAUCGAGAAG
rnacentral:misc_RNA from 1 species